rnacentral:rRNA from 1 species
CGAGGGGCAGCAUUUUAGUUUGCUUGCAACCUAAAGAUGGCGACCGGCGCACGGGUGAGUAACACGUAUCCAACCUACCGAUAACUCUGGAAUAGCCUUUCGAAAGAAAGAUUAAUACCGGAUAGUAUACGAAUAUCGCAUGAUAUUUUAAUUAAAGAAUUUCGGUUAUCGAUGGGGAUGCGUUCCAUUAGUUUGUUGGCGGGGUAACGGCCCACCAAGACUACGAUGGAUAGGGGUUCUGAGAGGAAGGUCCCCCACAUUGGAACUGAGACACGGUCCAAACUCCUACGGGAGGCAGCAGUGAGGAAUAUUGGUCAAUGGGCGCAGGCCUGAACCAGCCAAGUAGCGUGAAGGAUGACUGCCCUAUGGGUUGUAAACUUCUUUUAUAUGGGAAUAAAGUUUUCCACGUGUGGAAUUUUGUAUGUACCAUAUGAAUAAGGAUCGGCUAACUCCGUGCCAGCAGCCGCGGUAAUACGGAGGAUCCGAGCGUUAUCCGG